GACGCGGUGACCAAAUAGUUAGCGUGUUGGACUCCAGAUCGAGCGGUCUGGGUUCGAGCGCUGGCCGGGUCA